rnacentral:rRNA from 1 species
GAUGAACGCUGGCGGCGUGCUUAACACAUGCAAGUCGAACGAAGCACUUUAUUUGAUUUCCUUCGGGACUGAUUAUUUUGUGACUGAGUGGCGGACGGGUGAGUAACGCGUGGGUAACCUGCCUUGUACAGGGGGAUAACAGUUGGAAACGGCUGCUAAUACCGCAUAAGCGCACAGCAUCGCAUGAUGCAGUGUGAAGAACUCCGGUGGUAUAAGAUGGACCCGCGUUGGAUUAGCUAGUUGGUGAGGUAACGGCCCACCAAGGCGACGAUCCAUAGCCGACCUGAGAGGGUGACCGGCCACAUUGGGACUGAGACACGGCCCAAACUCCUACGGGAGGCAGCAGUGGGGAAUAUUGCACAAUGGGCGAAAGCCUGAUGCAGCGACGCCGCGUGAGCGAAGAAGUAUUUCGGUAUGUAAAGCUCUAUCAGCAGGGAAGAUAAUGACGGUACCUGACCAAGAAGCACCGGCUAAAUACGUG